UUUUGCUGGAUAAUUCAUAGUAUUCAUCACAUAGACUUUUUAGUCAAUGAUUUUUGCCGUCAGCAAAGUGUUCUACUUCUCAGGCUUUAAAAUGCAAGCCCCAAAUCUGUAACUAUCAGAUUCUCUAGGGCCUAGAGUAAAUACAUUGAUUGCAUUGGUUUUAAAAAGAAGACCAUAAAUUCUUUGACACAGCAAGUGUUUCUAUGUUAAAACGGUUGCUGUCUUAGAAUACUCCCUCUCAGCUUGUGUUUUCUUAGAACCUAGCCACCAUUCUGAGAGAAAGCAAAGCCUCAUGGAGAGGCUAUAUGUAGGUGUUCUGGUCAACAGUCCCAGCUGGGCCCAGCCUUCAAAUCAUUCCAGACAGCAGGAUGAGACAUAAGAAGAUAUUCAAAUACCAAAGUAACUAUGGAAAUAGGAGGAACAAAGAAGAAUUCUUGAAAGUCUCUAGGUAAAGAUAAAAGGAAAACAGAAUAAAGAAGAUCUCACAGCAGGGGCUUGUGACAGAUCUCCAAAUCAGGAAGUCAGGGAAGAUGAAGUGGAACGAAGCCAAAUCUCCACAUCCAGAGAGAUGGCCCAUAGAUUUCAACUACCCAGUUAACUUUCAGAUAACUCACUCAGGAGAAUAGAACUGGAAAUGUACAAAGCAUAAGUUUAAUUCUCUCAGUAAAUGAUGCAGAAAGAGUAGCAAGAAUUUUGAAAAUGGUCUCACACCCGGAAGAAGAUUUUAUAGACUGCCUGAAUGUCUUAACCUGGAGAAGAACGAUCCUGGAUUAGCCAAAGUCUAACGGCAGCAAUGAAGAAUUUCUACAUAGAGGCCGAAGACCAGCUGUUCUCAAUAUCGACUCAGCUCUGCCGAGUGGAAACUGAUCUGAACAGCAGCAUGAGAAACUUAAAUAAUAUGUGGAAGAAUUUCCUGACAGUGAAAGUUGUUAAUGUUGGGAGAUUGUAGAAUCUUCUCUGGAGGUUUAAAAAAUAACAUAGCUCUUCAUCUGCCUGGGAUAGAAUUAUUGUGAUGCAGUCUAAAAGCAGGCAAAUGGAAGAUAAUCGCUCGAGGUUUUUUCUGCCUCACAGUUUUUAUAAUUCUGUCACUUCUUAGAAAAACUUUAUCAAAUCAAUAAAAAAAUAAAAUUACAGGCAGAAAAGCAAGGCAAAAGAAGGGAAAAGUAAUCGAAUUAUUAAUUCCGUCUUGGGUCAGGUGUGAAGAAGAGACUAAAAAGCUUCAAUAUUUGGUAUUUUAGAAAUAAUUUUGAAGUCACGUAGUCUAUUGAGUGUUCUAGAACUCCCAGGUUGGUGAUCAACUGGUUGCUAACUAAUGGGGGGUCCUGUGUUUUCCUUCCUAGUCCAGAAUACUUCUGUUUCCCCUAAUUCACUUGACAACUAACCUCAUCUUGUAGAGUAUUUUGUAUAUGUUUAUAAAUUUCUUCGUGUUGUGAACGUAAGCAAAUUUACAGAAUAAAGC
rnacentral:lncRNA from 1 species